ACCGGCAGCUCAAGUGGUGGCCAUUUUUAUUGGGCCUAAAGCGUUCGUAGCCGGUUUGAUAAGUCUCUGGUGAAAUCCCGCAGCUUAACUGUGGGACUUGCUGGAGAUACUAUUAGACUUGAGGUCGGGAGAGGUUAGGGGUACUCCCAGGGUAGGGGUGAAAUCGUAUAAUCCUGGGGGGACCGCCUGAGGCUAAGGCGACUAACUGGAACGAGCCUGACUGUUAGUAACGAAACCUAGGGGCGCGAGCGG
rnacentral:rRNA from 1 species